UNCCUAGACUCAGUUAAAAAGCCUCCAGAC
rnacentral:piRNA from 1 species